rnacentral:rRNA from 1 species
AGCAGCAGUCGGGAAUAUUGGUCAAUGGGGGAAACCCUGAACCAGCAAUGCCGCGUGAGUGAUGAAGGUUUUCGGAUCGUAAAGCUCUGUCUUUGGGGACGAAUAAAUGACGGUACCCGAGGAGGAAGCCCCGGCUAACUACGUGCCAGCAGCCGCGUAAUA